CAUGAUAAAGGUUCAUACAAAGUACAUACUAGCACUUUAAACUUUAAGAAAUUGAGAACAAGCUGCUCUUUUCACAAACUCACAAUGUUUUGAAAGACAACAUUACAGAGUAGGCAUAAAGAAAACUGGACGAGAAAACUUAGACAAUUGAUGAUCAUCAAAAUAAAAAGGCUCUACAAUAUGAUUCUUGAUAUCAUAGAUUCCCAUGUCGCAGAAGCCUUUUUCAUAAAAGUCGGAUUGGUCGUCAGUGAAGUAGAUGCAGUUCCCCUUUUAUUCUGGGUAGUCAGAGGUUGAGAUGGCAUAAGAAGUAUUAUUCCCUAGAAACAAAGCAUGGUCACUCAAAUCUUCUACCUCCGCCCACGUCUUUGAAUGAAAAUCAAACUUGUAUACCACAAAAUAUGUUGUUUCAUUGUGGUAGUCGUAUGCAGGUGUAUCGUCAAUACCAUUGAAAGCUCGUUCAACCAUGCAAAGAUCCCCAGACAAUUCGACGAGAUAAAAUUUGCUACAAACAUAUAUAUUAUCUGGGGAUGAUGCAAAAUCUUUUGCUUUAGGCUGAGGUGUGUUGACCUCACAAAUCCUUAGCAUUCCUUCAGUAGUAACACCAUAAAACUGACCAUUGAAGAAUAUGACGUCUUGGUAGUUUAACUCAGAACAUUCCACAGAUGUCCAAGCUUCAUCUCCAGGAGAAGCAACAGCAAGAUAGCAGAGUUCUCCAUAUACAGCCCUAACCAAUGGGCAUUGUCCAGACUCGAAAGUAAAUGGAUCAGAUGAAAGAGCAAAUCUUUUAAGACACGUCUGACAAAGUUCUUCAGGCGUACUAUGACCUCUAUAUUGGUGUUCAAACAUAGGUUGUGAAGGUAGAGAUAUUUGAACACGGGAUAAUGGAUGUAAAAGAUGGAUAUUAAGGUCAAGACCAAAGGUGAGCAGGUGUCAGUUGGGCUCAACUGGUAAAACCUCUGGGUGAUGAUACCAGAGGUCUGGGGUUCGAAUCCCGCCAGCAUUACGAGUUACUGAUCUCAUUAAAAACAGGCUUACCACAACAUUUUUGCGAAUGAGCCUGUGGCUGAAUGGUAGCACCCCUCUCACAAAGUGGAGAGGUCGUGGGUUCGAAACACGUCAACAGCGGAUUGUUGAUAUAAGUUUCCACACGUAAUUUAAAAGGGGUAGGGGUCCCCACAACCUCGCUUACCAACCAAAAAAAAAAAGCAACCAACCAUAUGGAGUUCCCCAACAUCUUGUUCUAUUAGCUUGAGGCAAAUAAUAAUUGAAAAGCCUUUUGGUAGAAUGACAAUAAAAGGAACGAAUUGAUCCUUUCUUAAACUGUUUGUCGUUUUUAGUUUUAGCUAACAUUAGCCAAGGAGCACAAGGGAUGAUACAACCCUUUAGUUUUUUCACAACAAAAUGCCAUGACUUGCAAACGCAACUAAAUCGCGCAAAUUCAUUAGGAUAAGGUGGUAGUCGUUUGAAAACAAGAUCAAUGUUUCUUCGGGCAAUUCAGACCAAUUUGCCAUAAUACAAUAGUAGUUGUACAAGAAGAGAACAACUUUUCAGAAUUUCUUCUAACAAUUCUCUAGGUAACAACAAAUAUGGUGAUGGGGUUGGUAUUAGAAUACUCAAAUUCCUCUAGCUAGUGAGUCCUAAUAUUUUCAGAAAUCCAAAUUAUAAAAUGUUUAACAAAAAAAAAAAGGCAAUUUCUAUUUUCUAAAGUUAAAAACUUAAAACAACUUACCAUGAACAAGCACUAGCAGAAGCAGAAGCAGAACAACAACAACAGCAGAACAAAGAGAAGCCCUCAAGUCUUAAACCAAAAUAGAAAGAGACAGGCAGAUGAUGAUCUAGGGUUCAGUUGGAAAUAAUAUCAGAAACCCAUCCAAUCACCAGAUUUAAGAAAUCCUUCAAACUCUUGAUUGGAACUUGGAAGAUUGAAGGUAGAGGUAACAAAAAACUCCAAGCUCACUGGUAUUAGAAUUCUCAAAUUCCUCUAGCUAGUGAAUCCUAAUGCUUUCAAGAAUCCAAAUUUUAAAACGUUUAACAAGGCAAUUUCUAAAGUUAAAUCUUUAGCUUACCUUUGAAGACGCACUAGCUUAGCAGAACAGCAAGAAGAGAAAUCAUUGAAGAAAAUCCCCAAAUCUAUCAAACUCUUGAUUGAAGACUGAAGAGUGUGAGAAAGGGAUUAAAAACUCCAAGCUCACUGAUUUGAUUUGGACCUUUGGCAAAAGUAAAAGUAGUUUGAGAGUUUUCUUAUAUUUAAAAAAUGGUCCCUAUAUCUUCACUUUAUCAAUAAAACCCCAAACUUCAAACCAAAUAAAAAUUGGGUACAUAUUUCCUGUACAACUUCAAGUCUUCAACCAAAUAAGAAUUAUAUUGAAUCUUAGGUAGUGGGUUGAACUGCGUAUAUGUGUGUUGAGACUUGGGAGAUCACUUAACUUCCAAAUAAUAACACAAUCAGGUAAGAAUUGCAUGAUGCAUUGAUACUGUCGGAAAUUUGCAGCUAGCUGCAAGGUUUCGAGAGAACUUGGCUAUGUGAAUGCAUUUUGGUUGAUGGACGUUUUGUCGAGGCGACCCCAGUUUAUGCAGAUCCACUGGUUUUGGGAUAGACAAGGGUGGUAAUGUGGUAUGCAUUUUAUAAUUUGCAUAAUAGAAAAAAUAAAAAAAAUAAAAAAAAAACCUCUCGCUCGAAAAUGACCCCUGUUUAAUGACUUCACAGAGAUUCAGGUUUGACAGAGGCCACUUCUACUUGAUAUUUCAUCAGUCUUGACUGUAAUGAAUAUUAGUGUAUCUAAAUAAAACAUCUGCAUACAAUAUUUUGGGAACUUAAACAUAGUUAUCAGGCUAUGUUUUCAUAAAAAAAAAGGGCUUACAUUAGAGCACUUAUUACACAGAGUUGUGCAAAAUCAUUGGAAGCUUAUCUGAGUUCUAAACUUACAAUGUAUUCACUUUAUCUAACCUACUUUUCUUCUGAUACAUAUAUUCAAAUGUAGGCAUUUUCGUUAACGUAGCUUAAAUGUCUUAAGAGGUAAUUAUCAUCCACAAAUCAAAUCUCAAUAGAUUAAGAAGACUAGUAGAGGCUGUGAAUAUAACAAGUAAACACACUCCGACCUUCUGUCAAUGGUAACACCAAAACCAAAUUUCUGAUCAGCAAAGUCAAAUUAAAGUUGGAUACUAUGUAGGCCUUAAUUGCCUCCGAGCUAAAAGUUGCUGCAGAGCCACAGAAGAUCAAUUUAGCAGAAGCAGACUGCACCCACUGCCACUGGCAUGUUCCAAAUGCAACAGGAGUUAAUAGAUAAACAAAGUGCUUCGAGAACCAGAUGCUCAUGGACUCAUGGUUUGUGAGAAGAGGUUUAUCAGUAAGAGUCAUCUCCAUGAUAAAUAACAUUGUUUUCAAUGAAAAUAAAAUCUUGUUUGGCCAAUUAUAUAGUGUUGAAAGGAGCAGGCAAUUUGAAGUUCACAACUGAAUUACUUGAGCCCAUUAAAGUUCACAAAGUCAAUUGCGAACAAACUCAGCAGCAAGGUGCUGAGGCUAUUUUACUUCCGUCAUUUUGCAUCUUAGUGUGAUGAUCUGAUCUUGCAAUCUGCCUUUUCUGCGUACCUUGACAGGGAAGAAUGGACUAAGACAAAAAAAAAAAAAAAUCUACAUGACACACUUGAUUUUUAAGGAUCAACCAGCCACAAGUACAAAAUAAUCUCAAGAUGACAGUAAAACCACAUCAACCAGAUCUACACAGAAAUCAAAAUCUCUUAAACCAGAUAUGAGGGAAUCAAAUAGAUGGAUCAAACAAUCAAGUACAUUAAACCAAAUAGAAUGCAAACAAAUCAAACCAAAUUAUAACUCACUCACGGCUGGCUUUCAAAUCAUUUGACCAAGAAAAAGUUGUACAAUUGCUUAACUACGGAAAUAAUAAAAUUAAUUUAAAUGCCAUACAUUGACACAAUGAUGUAAAAGAUAUUGUAUCAUUACAGAGUAGGCAUAAAGAAAACCGGGCGAGAAAACGUAGAAAGUUGAUGAUCAUCAAAAUUAAAAGGCUCUAUCGUGUUAUUCUCGAUAUCAUAGAUUCCCAUGUCGCAGAAGCCAUGAGGAUAAAAGUCAGAAUGGUCGUCAGUGAAGUAGAUGCAAUUCUCUUUAAAUUCUGGGUAGUCCGAAGUUGAGAUGGCAAAAGAAGUAUUAUUCCCUAGAAACAAAGCAUGGUCACCCAAAUCUUCUACCUCAGUCCACGCCUUUGAACGAAAAUCAAACCUGUACACCACAAAAUAUGUUGUUUCGUUGUGGCAGGGUAUUGUAGGUAGAUCAUCGGUGGUAUCGAAAGCUCGUUCCACCAUGUAAAGAUCCCCAGACAAUUCGACGAGAUAAAAUCUGCUACAAAUAUAAACAUUGUCUGGGGGUGAUGCAAAAUCUGUUGCUUUAGGCUGCCGUGUGUUGACCUCAAUAAUUCUUAACAUUCCAUCACAAGAAAUAGCAUAAAAGUGGCCAUUGAAGAAUAUGAUGUCUUGGUAGUUUGACCUAGAACAAUCCACGGAUGUCCAAACUUCAUCUCCAGGAGAAGCAACAGCAAGAUAGCGUAUUUCUCCAUAUAUAGCCAUAACCAAAGGGCAUUGUCCAGACUCAGGGAUAGAUGGAUCAGAUGAAAGAGCAAAUUUUGUAAAGUAACUCUGACAAAGGUGUUCAGGACAAUACGCAUCGAAUUGGUGUUGGUGUUCAAACGUGGGCUGUGAUGGAAGAGAUAUUUGAACACGGGAUAAUGGAUGUAAAAGAUGGAUUUUAAGGUCAAGACCAAAGGUGAGCAACCAACCAUAUGGAGUUCCCCAACAUCUUGUUCGUUUAGCUUGAGGCAAAUAAU
rnacentral:lncRNA from 1 species